rnacentral:rRNA from 1 species
AUGAGGCCCAAGUGGGACACCCCUCUCAACCGGGCCUUGAACGAACUUAAGGGACUCCCUUUGGGCCAGCGGCCGCAAUAUGGUCGUGUGCACGGCACUGGAGAUGGCGCCACGUGGAAGGUGUUUUACAACGAGGGCCCGGAGGCCAAAAAGCAGAAAAAGAAGUUUAGUCAGGCGGACAUCGACGCGAAGGUGAAGCUUGCGGUCGAGAAAAAAGCAGCUGAGGACGCGAAAAAAACAGCCGAGGAGAAAAAUGAGUUGCUACAGCAGGCAGUCAAUGCAGCUAUAACUGCCUGCAGAAAUGAUUUUGCUACUAACUUGGUUCCUGAUACGUCUCCAACGUAUCUAUAA